AUCAUUCUUGCUCGGUCAACACGAGCUCACCCCUACCUUGGAAGAGUAUAGCGUGCUCAUUGGUAAGUCCAUCGAUUCACGAGCUCAUCGGUCCAUACCUAAAUGAGGAUGCCUGCGGGGUUUUAGCCGAUUUCUUAAAAGUUGAAUUACUCGAUC